GAUGAAGAACGUAGCGAAAUGCGAUAAGUAAUGUGAAUUGCAGAAUUCAGUGAAUCAUCGAAUCUUUGAACGCACAUUGCGCCCUAUGGUAUUCCGUAGGGCAUGCCUGUUCGAGCGUCAUUACACACCUCAAGCUCUGCUUGGUAUUGGGCGUCGUCCCCUAAACGGGACGUGCCUCAAGGACCUCGGCGGUGGCGUCUUUGCCUCAAGCGUAGUAAUCUUUUAUCUCGCUUUGGAGUCGAAGGCGUCGCCCGCCGGACGAAACCUUUAUUUUUCUAUCAAGGUUGACCUCGGAUCAGGUAGGGAUACCCGCUGAACUUAAGCAUAUCAAUAAGCGGAGGA
rnacentral:misc_RNA from 1 species